rnacentral:lncRNA from 1 species
CCUGCUGAGUUGUACCGCUGUUUAAUUGGAGAGUAUUAUCGCCAAGUGAAUUUGAUGUCCCUCCUACCGUUCCUUGAGUAUUCCUCGCUCGUCGCGGAGGCAUAUUGACCUAUGUUAGAUUUGAGAUAAUAACUUAUCCUUAAUAAGGUUAUAACUUGUGACAAGUCAAAUCAUAAUUAUCAUAACUUAACCUUUCAAUUUCCUAAUGUCUAUCCAUCACUCACUUUAUUCUACAUGUCUCUAUCUAUCUACUUAUGCUCUGAUACCAUAUUAAUUGUCACGCCCCCGACCCGAGAUUGUGAAUCGAGGGUCAUGGCAACUGCCGCAUACUUAUAGAAUACUUUUCCCAUAAGCAUGCAAGGCAUCU